rnacentral:rRNA from 1 species
UAUCCUACGGGGGGCAGCAGUGAGGAAUAUUGGUCAAUGGACGAGAGUCUGAACCAGCCAAGUAGCGUGAAGGAUGACUGCCCUAUGGGUUGUAAACUUCUUUUAUAUGGGAAUAAAGUUUUCCACGUGUGGAAUUUUGUAUGUACCAUAUGAAUAAGGAUCGACUAACUCCGUGCCAGCAGCCGCGGUAAUACGGAGGAUCCGAGCGUUAUCCGGAUUUAUUGGGUUUAAAGGGUGCGCAGGCGGACCAUCAAGUCAGCGGUAAAAUCGUGGGGCCCAACCCCAUCCCGCCGUUGAAACCGGCG